GGACUACACGGGUAUCUAAUCCUGUUUGCUCCCCACGCUUUCGCGCCUCAGCGUCAGUUGCAGGCCAGCGAGCUGCCUUCGCCAUGGGUGUUCCGAUCGAUAUCUACGCAUUUCACCGCUACACCGACCAUUCCACUCGCCCCUCCCGCACUCAAGGUCUCCAGUAUGAAAGGCAGUGUCCGGGUUGAGCCCGAACCUUUCACCCCUCACUUAAAAACCCGCCUACGCGCUCUUUACGCCCAGUAACUUCGGACAACGCUGGCCCCCUACGUAUUACCGCGGCUGCUGGCAC
rnacentral:rRNA from 1 species